CCUGUGGAGUCGCACUGGGGGCAAAAGGCUUCUUUGCUCAAGUGCCCUUGAGGUCCGGCGGUUUCCCGUGACCGCAGUCGCUCAGACUGACGCUGAGACUAACAUUUGCUAUGCGAGUUUUUGCAUCGUGGCCAUGGCUGGGCCAAAAAGCCCUUUCGGAUCGACGGGCAUUCUUUUCCUUUUGAGGCAGACAAAUUCAGCCAUCAGGCUCUCUCCUGAGCGACCAUCAGGGCCAUGGCUCUUCCAGAGGUCUGGACAGCACACCUGUGGAGACGCAGACAGAGGUUUGAGGUCAGUGUGGUCGACAUCUCCUCCUGUAAUUCUGCCUGGUAGGCAAGGAGUAG